UGUAGAGGUCGGGAGGUGGGGAUGUCGUGACAUGGGGAGGUCGGGAGGUGGGGAUGUCGUGACAGGGAUGUCGGGUUAUGUCAUGACAUGGGGAGGUCGGGAGGUGGGGAUGUCGUGACGUGGGGAUGUCGGGAUAUAUCAUGACAUGGGGAGGGCAGGAAGUUGGGGAUGUCGUGACAUGGGGAGGUCGGGAGGUGGGGAUGUCGUGACGUGGGGAUGUCGGGAUAUAUCAUGACAUGGAGAGGUUGGGAGGUGGGGAUGUCGUGACAUGGGGAGGUUGGGAGGUGGGGAUGUCGUGACAUGGGGAUGUUCUGAUAUGGGGAUGUUGGGAUAUGGCGAUGUCGUGACAUGGGGAUGUCGUGACAUGGAGAUGUUGGGAUAUGCGGAUGUCGUGACAUGGAGAUGUUGGGAGGUGGGGAUGUCGUGACAUGGGGAUGUCGGGAUAUGGGAAUGUUCCAAUAUGGGGAUGUCGGGAGAUGGCGAUGUCGUGACAUGGGGAUGUCAUGACAUGUGGAGAUGUCAGGAUAUGCGGAUGUCGUGACAUGGAGAUGUCAGGAGGUGGGGAUGUCGUGACAUGGGAAGGUCGUGACAUGGGGCGGUCGGGAGAUGGGGAGAUUGGGAUAUGUGGAUGUCGUGACAUGGGGAGAUCAUGACAUGGGGAGGUUUGACAGGAGGAUGUCGUGACAUGGGGAAGUCGGGAGGUGGGGAUGUCGUGACAUGGGGAUGUUCCGAUAUGGGGAUGUCGUGACGGGGGAUAUCGUGACAUGGGGAGGUUGUGACAGGGAUGUGGGGAUAUGUCAUGACAUGGGGAAGUCGGGAGGUGGGGAUGUCGUGACAUGGGGAGGUCAUAACGGGAGGAUGUCGUGACAUGGGGAUGUCAGGAGGUGGGGAUGUCGUGACAUGGAGAUGUUGGGACAGGAGCAUGUCAUGACAUGGGGAAUAUCGGGACAUGGGGAUGUCAGGAUGUGGAGAUGUCAUGACAUGGGGGUGUCGUGACGGGGAUGUCGUGACAUGGGGAGGUCAGGAGGUGGGGAUGUCGGGACAUGCAGAGGUCGUGAUAUGGGAAUAUUGCGACGGGGAUGUCGUGACAUGGGGGCGACGUUAUGGGGGGAUGUCGUGACAUGGGGAUGUCGGGACAUUGGGGAUGUCAUGACAAAGAUGUCAGGACAUGCGGAUGUCGUGACAAGGGAUUGCUGUGACAGGGGGAUGUCGUGACAUGGAGAUGUAGGGAGGUGGGGAUGUCGGGAUAUGGGCAUGUCGUGACGUGGGGACAGUGUGACAUGGGGAUGUCGUGACAUGCAGAGGUCGUGAUAUGGGGAUGUCACGACGUGGGGAUGUCUUGACAUGGGGACAGUGUGACAGUGGGAUGUCAUGACGUGGAAAUAUCGUGACAUGGGGGAAGUGUGACAUGGGGAUGUCAUGAUAUGGGGAUGUCGUGACAUGGAAAUAACGUGACGCAGAGGUGUUGUGACAUGGGGACAGUUUGACAUAGGGAUGUCGUGACGUGGAAAUAUUGUGACAUGGGCACAGUGUGGCAUGGGGACAGGGGGACAUGGGGAUGUCGUGACAUGGGGAUGAUGUCAUAUGGAGAUGUCGUGACGUGGGGACAGUGUGACAUGGGGAUGUCGUGACGUGAGAAUGUUGUGACAUGGGGAUAUCGUGACAUGGGGAUGCAGUGACAUGGGGACAGCCUACUAUGGGGGUGUCGUGACAUGGGGAUGUCGUGAUAUGGGGACAGUGUGAUAUGGGGAUGUCAUGACAUGGGGACAGCGUGACAUGGGGAUGAUGUGACGUGGGGAUGUCGCGAUAUGGGGAUGUCGUGACAUGGGGACAGCGUGACGUGGGGAUGUCGUGAUAUGCGGACAGUGUGACAUGAGGAUGUCGUGACAAAAGAAUGUCGUGACACGGGGAUGUUGUGACAUGGGGACAACGUGACGUGGGGAUGUUCUGAUAUGGGGAUGUCACGAUAUGGAGAUGUCGUGACAUGGGGAUAUCGUGACAUGGGGUUGAUGUGACAUGGGGAUGUUGUGAUGGGAUAUCGUGACAUGGGGAUGUCGGGAGAUGGGGAUGUUCUGAUAUGGGGAUGUCGCGAUAUGGGGAUGUCGUGACAUAGGGACAGCGUGACGUGGGGAUGCCGUGAUAUGCAGACAGUGUGACAUGGGGAUGUCGUGACAAAAGCAUGUCGUGACAUGGGGAUGUUGUGACAUGGGGACAGCGUGACGUGGGGAUGCCAUGACAUGGGGACAGUGUGACAUGGGGAUAUCGUGACAUGGGGAUGUCAUGAUAUGGGGAUGUCGUGACAUGGGGAUGAGGGUGGCAUGGGGAUAUGGUGACGUGGGGAUGUCGUGACAUAGGGACAGUGUGACAUAGGGGUAUCGUGAUAUGGGGAUGUCGUGACAUGGGGAUGUUGUGACCUGGGGAUGAUGUCAUAUGGGGAUGUCGUGACAUGGGGACAGCGUGAUAUGGGGAUGUCGUGACAUGGGGAUGAUAUCGUGACAUGGGGAAAGUCGGACACAGGGACUGUGUGAUGGGGAUGUAGUGACAUGGGGAUGUUCUGAUAUGGGGAUGUCACGAUAUGGGGAUGUCGUGACAUGGGGAUAUCGUGACAUGGGGGUGAUGUGACAUGGGGAUGUUGUGAUGGGAUAUCGUGACAUGGGGAUGUCGGGAGAUGGGGAUGUUCUGAUAUGGGGAUGUCGCAAUAUGGGGAUGUCGUGACAUAGGGACAGUGUGACAUGGGGAUGUCGUGACAAAAGCAUGUCGUGACAUGGGGAUGUUGUGACAUGGGGACAGCGUGACGUGGGGAUGCCAUGACAUGGGGACAGUGUGACAUGGGGAUAUCGUGACAUGGGGAUGUCAUGAUAUGGGGAUGUCGUGACAUGGGGAUGAGGGUGGCAUGGGGAUAUGGUGACGUGGGGAUGUCGUGACAUAGGGACAGUGUGACAUGGCAAUGUCGUGACCUGGGGAUGUCGUGACAUGGGGAUAUCAUUAAAUGGGGAUGUCGUGACAUGAGGAUGUUGUGAUAUGGGGUUAUCAGGACACGGGGAUGUUGUGGUAUGGGGAUGUCGUGACAUGGGGAUGUCGUGACAUGCGGACAGUGUGACAUGGGGAUGUCGUGACAUGGGGAUAUCAUCACAAGGGGACAGUGUGACAUGGAGAUAUCGUGAUAUGGAGAUGUUGUGACAUGGGGAUGUCGUGACAUGGGGACAGUGUGACGUGGGGAUAUCAUCACAAGGGGACAGUGUGACGUGGGGAUGUCGUGACGUGGAGAUAUCGUGAUAUGGGGAUAUCGUGACAUGGGGAUGUUUUGAUAUGGGGAUGUCACGACAUGGGGACAGCGUGACGUGGGGAUGUCCUGACAUGAGAAUGGCGUGACAUGGGGAUGUCGUGACAUGGGGAUGAGGGUGACAUGGUGAUAUCGUGACGUGGGGAUGUCGUGACAUACAUGGGGAUGUCGUGUCCAGGAGAUCUCGUGACAUGGGGAUACUGUGACACGGUGAUGUCGUGUCAUGGGGGUGUCACGAUAUGGGGACAUUGUGACAUGGGAAUGUCGCGACAUGGGGAUAUCGUGUCAUGGGGAUGCCAUGUCAUGGAGAUGUCGCGACAUGGGGAUGUCGCGAUGUGGGGACGUCGCGAUGUGGGGACGUCGUGACACGGGGACAGCGUGCCGUGGGGAUGCCGUAACACGAGAAUGUCAUGACGUGGGGAUAUCGUGGCAUCGAUAUGUCACGACAUGGGGAUAUCGUGAGGUGGGGAUGGCGUAAGAUCGCGAUGUCGUGACAUGGGGAUAUCGUGAUAUGCAGAUUCCGUGACAUGGGGAUAUCGUGACAUGGGGACAGUGUGACAUGGGGAUGUCGCGACAUGAGGAUGCUGUGAGGUGGGGAUGUCGUGACACGGGGAUGAGGGUGACAUGGUGAUAUCGUGACAUGGGGACAUUGUGACAUGUCGAUGUCGUGACGUGGGGAUAUCAUGAUAUGGGGACAGUGGGACAUGGUGAUAUCGUGACAUGGGGAUGUCGUGACAUGGGGAUUCUGUGACAUAGGGACAGUGUGACGUGGGGAUGUCGUGACAUGGGGAUGUUGUGAUAUGGGGACAAUGUGACAUGGUGAUAUCGUGACAUGGGGAUGUCGUGUCAUGGGGAUGUCGUGACAUGGGGAUGAGGGUGACAUGGUGAUAUCGUGACAUGGGGACGUUGUGACAUGGGGAUGUCGUGACAUGGGGACAGUGUGACAUGGUGAUAUCGUGACAUGGGGAUACUGUGACGUGGGGACAGUGACGUGGGGAUGUCGUGACAUGGGGAUGUCAUGAUAUGGGGAUGUUGUGAUAUGGGGACAAUGUGACAUGGUGAUAUCGUGACAUGGGGAUGUCAUGACAUGGGGACAGUGUGAUGUGGGGAUGUCGUGACAUGGGGAUGUCGUGACAUGGGGAUGAGGGUGACAUGGUGAUAUCGUGACAUGGGGACAUUGUGACAUGUCGAUGUCGUGACGUGGGGAUAUCAUGAUAUGGGGACAGUGUGACAUGGGGAUGUCGCGACAUGAUGAUGUCGCAAUAUGGGGAUGUCGUGACAUGGGGACAGUGGGACAUGGUGAUAUCGUGACAUGGGGACGUUGUGACAUGGGGAUGUCGUAACAUGGGGAUGUUGUGACAUGGGGACAGUGUGACAUGGGGAUGUCGUGACGUGGGGAUAUCACGAUAUGGGGACAGUGUGACUUGGGGAUGUCGUGACAUGGGGAUGUCAUGAUAUGGGGAUGUUGUGAUAUGGGGACAAUGUGACAUGGUGAUAUCGUGACAUGGGGAUGUCAUGACAUGGGGACAGUGUGAUGUGGGGAUGUCGUGACAUGGGGAUGUCGUGACAUGGGGAUGAGGGUGACAUGGUGAUAUCGUGACAUGGGGACGUUGUGACAUGGCGAUGUCGUGACAUGGGGAUAUCAUGAUAUGGGGACAGUGUGACAUGGGGAUGUCGCGACAUGAGGAUGUCGCUAUAUGGGGAUGUCGUGACAUGGGGACAGUGUGAUGUGGGGAUGUCGUGACAUGGGGACGUUGUGAAAAGGGGAUGUCGUGACAUGGGGAUGAGGGUGACAUGGGGACAGC
ensembl:lncRNA